AUAAAUGUGCGUUGAAACUAAGGUUGUUGUUGAGCCACCGGAGCUUUUUGCUGCUACGGGGCUGUUGUCGGGUCAGUUCGGAAUCGCAGCUGUUCCUUUGUGUUAUUUUGUGUCGCUAUGAUUAUUGCGGAUGUGGCUUGAAGCUGAGGUUGCGGUUGUUGAUGAUUUCGGGUUGAGGCGGAAAAGACUCUGUGACGCGUU